GGGCAAGACAAUGCAUUGACUUGGACUGAAACAGAGGUCAAAAUAUAUAUUUUUAAAUGCUUUGAAAAAUAUAUUUUUAUUUAAAAUAUUUUCAAAAAAUAUAAGAAAAAUGGCCUGAAAAUAUAUUUGCACAAAUAUGUUAGCAUAUAUAUAUAUAUUUAAAAUACCUUUUGUAUCUGCAUAUUUGUAUAUUUAUUAUACCUGUGGUCCAACCAUGAAGACGUCUACCUCUGAUUAAACAUGAGUAAUACCCUGUAAUUGAUUACCACCAUAAACUGCACUGAAUUUCUGUUUUUCUCCUUUGAGUGUUUGGUAAAUAUCUUGUCAAUUGUUGAUUUGUUUUUAUGCUCAAGGCAUCAGAUAUUCACAAACACAUUGUGCUCUCCACAAACCAUGAACUUCACUGUAUGUGAACCUGUUUAAUGUUGUAUUUUCUUUUUUCAUGGCUUUUCAGGAUGAGUUUUUAAGACAUUUCUACCUAAUAAUGGGUGGUGUUACAUAUUCAUGUAGUAUUUAUUUAAUUUUGUUCUGCUUGUAAUGAUUUGCCUGUCCUCUAGGGGGCGGUUUUGUCAUGUGUUUCUUGCCUUUCAUUAGGGGCCAAUUCCAUACACCUGUGGACUGCCUGAGAGUUUGGAUACAUCACGUCUCAUCGCCAUACCUGAGUGUGGGGGAGACUGCUACAGCAGUUCGGCUGCUCUCACCUUAGUUUUUGUUUUCUUCUUUUUCCUCACUAAUUUUCCUCCCACCUUUAAUGUUAAAUUUUUGUUAUGCUUAUGUUUAUUUUGUAAUAUUUUUUUCCCCUUAUUGAAUCAAGCCUUUUCGUGUUACCCCUCCUUUGUUUUAUUGUUGUGGCCGAAUUUGCAGCAAAAAACUGACUUUUGACAUCAAAAUAAGAAAAAGACAGUGUUUUCUGCUCUCUGUUAAAACAUUUGUAAUGGCUUCUUUAUUUGUAACAGUUACACAAUUAACAGUUAUUGUAGCUGCAUCUGUUGCUGUCUGACCCACUGCUGCUCUAUAGUGGUACUCAUGGGAAUCACUUAAUUAAAAAUAAAUUAGGUGUGUAUCCACCCA
ensembl:lncRNA